GACAGAGGCCUCGAGCGUUAGGCGGAAUCACUGGGCUUAAAGCGUGUGUAGGCGGAUCGUUAAGCACCUUGUGAAAUCCCACGGCUCAACCGUGGAACGGCUGGGUAUACUGGCGGUCUUGGGCCAUUCAGGGGCGACUGGAACAAGCGGUGGAGCGGUGAAAUGCGUAGAUAUCGCUUGGAACGCCGAAGGUGAAAACAGGUCGCUGGGGAUGUGCCGACGCUGAGACACGAAAGCCAGGGGAGCAAACGGG
rnacentral:rRNA from 1 species